UUUCUGCUGCUUCAGCUCCCCCUGCUGGUCCUCAGCAGCAGCGUCACUCUCUGACGGGGUUAAACGUCACCGAAGAAAACAUGGCGGCGUCCAGUAAGUCGACCGUGCUGCUGAAGGCUGUGAAGAAAAUCGCGGUCCAGUUUUGUCCCUUCGAGUCCAAUGUUCGCUCAACACGGGAGUUUUUGCUCUUGGUGGGCUCAGAAAAGGCUCGAUCUACUAACAUGAACUGUGAAGUGAUAACCACGGUGACGCACGACAAAUCUGAACCUGUAGUGGACGUUACUACUUUU